rnacentral:tRNA from 1 species
GCAGGCGUCGUAUAGCGGCAUUACCUCAGCUUUCCAAGCUGAUGAUAGGGGUUCGACUCCCCUCGCCUGCUCCC